AAACGAGACAAUGUGUGCCAAAUUCUUAACAGACUCUAGCAUGUAAUAAGUGCUCUGUAGACAGGGCCACAGCUAGCAUGCAGGGUGUCUUUGUGGUAAUUGGGAAAAGGUAUGCUCAUUUGGGUAGACACAUUACAAAAAGAUGUACCUUCCUCUGGGCUGGUGCCUGGGCUCCUGUCUUGGGGAGCACAGUUCCUCCCUCACCUGGCCAUCCUUUGGCUGGUCACAACCCACAAAACUGAAGGUGGAGGCUCUGUCCAUACAUGUCUGCUAUGGUAAUUACACGUGAGGGUGGGGAGGAGACUCACAGUGCUGCGCCCUCCAACCCAGGAUUCUUCCCCUCCAGCAGUUCUUGCAGACAGACAACUGCACGAACUCUGAAGCUGUGGAGGCCCCGUCGGAGAAGGCAGCUGACUCUCGCUUCUCAGAACCACAGCGCUGGGCUCAGCAGACUCUCACCUUGAUAAACUUCUGUGAGAACAAAGGCAUGGGGACACACUGAAUUUUCCUUUUCUGAGCUUGAAACCAGCUGAUCAUGCUUCCUGUUUCUCUAAGGGCUUCCCUGACAUAGGUGACUUGCUUCUUUCAAAUUUGGUCAUCGCCCUCUUGCCUUCCUGUGUGAGUCAGCGUGGCUGCCCUCGUGCACGCCAGGCUUCUGUCUGCGCUCCAGGGCCUGUUUCCUGGCCUCCCCAGGUAAUUCCCCUCGGCCAAGGGUGAGUGUCCCCGCCCACGUCCCCUCUGCCUGGAGACGUGCUUGCUCUGGGGACAUGAGUCACAGCAGCUCACCCGUCCUCUGCAUCUGAAACUAUUAUUGGAAUGCCUCUGCACACAGCACACACCUGCUUCCCAGAUUUCACAGGCUCCUGCUCCGCGAUCUGCAAACCACAUUGCUCAGCCCGAGAUUCCAUGCGGGUGAUCACGGGGUGGUUUCCUCUAAGCUGGAACUUUUCUAAGAAAGUAGGUUUCUUUAAGCCAGGCAUUCUGCAUUCUUCAAAAAGCAUCAAGCACAGAGAGUGCCUAGCAAUGUGCCUGCCUUUAUGGGUAAUGCAAAAUAAAUCGUUCUGGAGCUCUGAGAAUGACACAGUAAAAAGAAGAGCAAAAAUGAGUGUCUCAAAUAAGAGAUGUGGCAGGACAGAUCCUUACGGGCCUGGAGAGUUAAACCCACAAAAAGAAAGAGAAGAAAGAUGCAGAAGAUCGGGAGGAGGACCAUGAGAGAGAACCAGCAGAGGCAAGCAGCUUGAACAAAGAUGCAGAGGAGAAUGUGUUGGACUUGUUUACAAGAACCUAAAUACUGAACCAAAUUUGAAUUUUGAAGAUCCUUCUCUUUUUUCAUGCUAGGAUGAUUAAUAGCCUUUAGUGUGAAUUUAUUGUGAGGUGAUAAAACUGCUAUGAAUGCUAAAAGGUAUACAAUUCUUGUCUUCCUUUUACAGAGAAGGAAACUGAGGCACAAAGAGGCGAAGUCCCGAGCUCACAGUCAUGCAACCAGCAGGUGGCGAAACACACCCCCAAGCUGCCUGCCUCCUAAGCAUCAAGCUUUGUGGCCUAGGGUACAGCCCAAAGCACAGCAUAUUCAUGAAGUCCAUGAACAUUCUGAAUCUUGACCCCAAAUGAGAUUCCCAAGAAUAGUUUCCAAACCCAAAGCAAUGACGCUGUCCAGGACAUGGAAGGAAGAAGAUUUUCGUACCUUUGAGCCUUUUAUCAUCUCAGAUCUCCAAGUGUUUCUGGGACUGUAGGACAUUAGGAGUAUUUUGUAACACAGUGGUUCUCUUGGAAGUGUAUGGGUGGGGGUUGCUUUUUACUAAAGCAAGUCUGUGGCUUGGUGAGGCUGCAUCAUUUGCAUCUGUCUCUGUGAAAAGAUAGUGGGCCAUGAUGCAGGAAGGACUUUGGGCCUCGACUGAGUCAACCAUUCAUUUAUAUUUCCUACGUGUCUACUAUGUAUGUUCUAGGCUCUGGGAAUGUGAACGAGAGAGACAAAAUUCCUGCUCUUACGAAAACCAUACAUUAUUUGUAUCUUCUGGAUUAUAAUGUCUAUCCAUGGAAACCAAGGGGAAAGUAGAUAAAAAUAAAUGCAUAAGUUGAAUUCAGAUAAUGAUAAAUGGGAUUUUUCUUAAAGCAGGGUGUUGUGAUAGAGAGCAAGUGGUGCUGGGAGGAGAGGUGGGCACUAUUUCAACUGGGUAGCAUGGAAGACCUCACUGGUAAAGAGGAGAUUGGAACUGAGAUGUAAACAUACAGAAGGAGCUAACCAUGUAGCUCUUUCCAAGCAUAGGGUUAGCAAGGAUAAGCUUGGUGUAUUUAAAAAACUGCAAAGAUGGCAUGAUUGAAGAUGCAGAGGGCAGGGCUGAAAGGGAGGAAGGAAGCCAGAGCUGGGCAGAAGUCAGAUCAUGUGGGUCCAUGUUGCCCUUAUAGACUUAGUAAGAAUCUGGAAAACUUCUUGGUAAUGUUUUUAAUUGGAGGGUUUUAAGCAGGGGAAUUAUAUAAUUUGAUUUACACCGAUAAGCAUCGUUUUUGAAAAAGGCACUUGCUUACAUCACAUAUAAUAAUUUUCUACUUAAUUCAGAGAACUGUAUGUUAUUCUAUGUUCUGGUGAGAAAUGGAUAAUGAAGACGAACAUGUCUCAAUUCCAGUAAAAAAUGUGAUGACAAGAUCCUAAGGGUAUAAUGUGAUUUUUAAAAUGACAUCGAACACCAGGGCUGCUUUUUUUUUAGAGAAGAUUCUAGGGAGGGAGGUUAUUUUGAGAUAAGAUGUUAUUGAGGAAACCCUCCAAAAUAAAAGGCCAAUGAGGAAGAGAAAAUCUUAGUGCAAGUAUAUACAUUUAGUUCUGAGUUUCAAAUCUUUAGGUCUGAUAGCUUUUUAAAUGUAACUGCCAUUAGUGACUGACACCUUGGUUCAAAGCCCGAGUACAUGAAAGCUUUGUUUACUUGAAUUAAAUUUCCAAUAUGCACAGCUAACUCAUAUCUGAUAAAAACUUAGAAUGUUCCUUGAAAUAUUCUGGAAUGGAGGACCACAUGGCCUAAGCACUAAUAAUGGCCACUCUGCCAUGGACUGAGUUUAAUAUCACAGUGCGGUCUGAGGACCUGUCUGUAUUUAUAUGUGUUCAGAGACUUCAGAAAUGGGCCCUUUGCUCUCAGCCUGCCCUGUUCCCCAUUAUUUUCUAGGGAAUGAAUACUCUAGUUUAAGAAUCCUGAGUGGGUGAUUAAUAUUAGUGACAGUAUAUGCAUCUAUCUAUGUCAUUCAUUAGACCUUGCCUUGCAGAUUCCUGAACUAUUCAUGACACGUUUGUGAAUUUUCUACUUGUACUAGUAUGCUGUUCUGUAGCGAAAUAGGCCUUCUCUGAAAAUAUAAAUAUUAGGAAUUAUGGGAAAUAAAAAUUUUUCUCUGUACAACUAUUAGAAUGGCCAAAACUCAAAACAUUACCAAUAUCAAACGUCGGUGAGGAUGGGAAGGAAGCAGGAGGCACUCUUGUUCAUUGCUGGUGGGGAUGCAAAAUGGCACAGCCACUUUGGAAGGCAGUUUGGCAGUUUCUUACAAAACUGAACAUACUCUUACCAUAUGGUCCAGCAUCAUGCUCCUUGGUAACUUAUGUCUACACAAAAACCUGCACAGGAAUAUUUAUAGCAGCUUUAUUCAUAAUUGCCAAAACUUGGAAGCAACUAAGGUGUCCUUCAGUAGGUGAAUGGAUAAAAAAAAAACUGUGGUUCAUCCAGACGCCGGAAUAUUAUUCAGCGCUAAAAAGUAAUGAGCUAUCAAGCCAUGAAAAGACAUGGAGGAAACUUAAAUGCAUAUUACUGAGUGAAAGAAGCCAAUCUGGAAAUCCUGCAUACUACAUAAUUCUAGCACCAUGACGUUCUGGAAAAGACAAAACUAUGGAGAUAGUAUAAAGAUCAGUGGUUGCCAGCGGUUGGGGGAAGGAUGAAUAGGCAGAUCACAGAGAAUGUUAUGGCAACGGAGCUAUUCUGUAUCUACUUUGAUACUAUAAUGGUGGAUACAUAUCAUUAUAUGUUUGUCUAAACCCAUAGAAUAUACAACACCAGGAGUGAAUCUUGAUGUAAACUAUGAACUUCGGGGGAUAAUGACAUGCCAAUGUGGGUUCAUCAGUUUUAACAAAUGUACUGCCCUGGCACAGAUGUUGGUAGUGGGAGAAGCCAUACAUGUGUGGAGAUAUGGCGUAUAUGGUAAAUAUCUGUUCCUUUCACUCAAUUUUCAGUGAACCAAAACUGCUCUAAAAAUCUGUUUUUAAAAAAUAAAUAAAUGAAAGCUAUAAUUUA